rnacentral:hammerhead_ribozyme from 1 species
AUCCAGCUGACGAGUCCCAAAUAGGGCGAAACGCGCGUUAAACUGAAU